rnacentral:rRNA from 1 species
GCGUGGGUCUAGCAUCAGUCGUAACGGGCCAUGUCCUUCGGGCAUGGUUAGUGGCGGACGGGUGAGUAACACGUAAGCAACCUGCCCGGAAGUGGGGAAUAACUAGCCGAAAGGCUGGCUAAUACCGCAUGUGAUGGCUCUUCCCUGGAGGAGUCAUUAAAGGCGAAAGUCGCUUCUGGAGGGGCUUGCGGCCGAUUAGCUAGUUGGUGGGGUAAUGGCCUACCAAGGCAUCGAUCGGUAGCUGGUCUGAGAGGACGGUCAGCCACACGGGGACUGAGAUACGGCCCCGACUCCUACGGGAGGCAGCAGCUAGGAAUCUUGGGAAUGGGCGAAGAGCCUGACCCAGCAACGCCGCGUGGGCGAUUGAAGGCCUUCGGGUCGUAAAGCCCUUUUGCAGGGGACGAUGAUGAC